CAAUGACCUAGCAGACCAUGUGGAAGAAUUGGAGGCAAAACUAGACCGAACAGAAACAAAACUUGCAGAUUUGGAGGACCGAGCAUGACGAAACAACAUCCGCAUUAGAGGGAUACCCGAAGACAUCACAACAGCAGACCUACCAGCCUAUAUCCAAGGCCUACUCCAUACCUACAUGCCUGAUAUCCCUUCUGACAUGCUGCUCAUAGACCGCAUGCACCGAGUACCACGGCCCAGACACGGUCUCCAGAGACACACUGAUCAAAGUCCACUAUUACCACAUCAAGGAAAUUAUCC